rnacentral:rRNA from 1 species
ACCAGACUCCUACGGGAGGCAGCAGUGGGGAAUAUUGCACAAUGGGGGAAACCCUGAUGCAGCGACGCCGCGUGAGCGAUGAAGUAUUUCGGUAUGUAAAGCUCUAUCAGCAGGGAAGAAAAUGACGGUACCUGACUAAGAAGCCCCGGCUAACUACGUGCCAGCAGCCGCGGUAAUACGUAGGGGGCAAGCGUUAUCCGGAUUUACUGGGUGUAAAGGGGGCGCAGACGGCAGCGCAAGCCAGGAGUGAAAGCCCGGGGCCCAACCCCGGGACUGCUCUUGGAACUGCGCGGCUGGAGUGCAGGAGGGGCAGGCGGAAUUCCUAGUGUAGCGGUGAAAUGCGUAGAUAUUAGGAGGAACACCAGUGGCGAAGGCGGCCUGCUGGACGACAACUGACGGUGAGGCGCGAAAGCGUGGGGAGCAAACAGGAUUAGAUACCCGAGUA